GCCCUGCUGCGGUAGUGCGUAGUGCCGGUAACCAGCCGCGGUCGGGAUUGAGGGGAGCCGGAAGGCGCUUCUGCCCUGAGAUGCGUUGCACCUCCGUGUUAGCGGCCGCUGUGUGCUCUGCACGUUCCCUAGUCCCGGCUCUCCCCAGCCCCACGGAGACGCGGACUUUCGGGUCCCGAAUCCCGUAGUUGUCGGCUCGCACGUCGCCAUCCGCUGGUCGAACGGGAGGGCCGGAUGGAGUGAGAGCAAACCCGACCCUGUGCUGGUGUCACACGGGUCGGCAGGGCACUGUAGUGCUCCUUUGCUACGCAAGAACCUGCAGUGCAAGCCGCUUCCAUUAUAACCUAGUCGAAACUUUAGCCUGUGAGACAGAAAAGAACACGGCAGUCUCUUGACUGCCUUUACCUGGUGUGCAGAAUGUCCCCAGAAUGGAGGGAAUGUGCCUCCUAACGAAGCCUUGGGCCCACACCCGUGGGUCUUAAGCAAGCGUUUUACAUGUGCAAUAGAGUUUGCUUGUAGGGAGCAGUACAGCACCUGUGUUUCCUACACAGUUGCCUGUGUCAUAUUGCUGGGGGAUGUGAUGCCAGGGAGUGCAGCCUGUGUAGGCUGCAGGUACCAGGGCUGCAUUAGCACUAUAAGCCUGCACAGAAAUGAGCCCAGAGAGCUUGUCGUGCUCUGUACAAACACCUGGGCAAAAUACACCCAAAUGUAACCUACACAUGUAGACACACUCAUUCUCAAAGCAGCCACCACUUUAAAGUGACACCCCUCUCUCACAUCCGUCCCUGCACGUCUCUUUCGGCAGACGGAUGCAGCUGACUGAAUACAGGUUUCCCCACCGAGGGGCCCCUGUAGCUUGGCAUUCUCACUGCAUUUGGUCUCUGUGUACUUAGUUGGAGAAAGGGUCAGGAUUUCAUACUGAGAUUUUACAAUUCAAGCUUCAGUUCUUCAGGAUAUUGGAUAUAUCAGACCUCUCAAGGCUGUGCUGAGCCUGCCUAACAUCAGUUGACUUCUGUACAAGCAAGAGACUGUCCCUCAGCCUGGUGUAACAGUUGGAACAGCAUUCAUAAAAACAGGAUAUUUAUCAGAAAGGGUAGAUCAGAAGUGUUGAUCAUGAGAAGGCAUUUUUUUCUCCACUUCGUUUUUCUCAUGAAGGAUAACUACAUCUUUCAACCUCCCUUGAAGAACAGGCAUACUUUCUUCAAACAGUGCUUGACACAAAGGACAACUGAGAGUGCAACGCUUCAGGUUAAUAAAAUUAAAAGACAGCAGCUGUAAUUGCUGCCUUGCACAGAGGCAAGACACUGCUUCCUCCUGAAAGAAACUGCAUUGAAGCCAUAGCUUAAGAAUAACCAUAUUGUCUGAGGAGAAGCUAUAUCAAGUUUUCUUGAUCUACUCAAACUGCAUCAUUUCACCAGGAAGAGCGGAAAGUCAUUACCUACAUGCUGAACAGCCUGAUGUCUGCAAAAGGCUUCUGGGAGCUGGGGAAUACAGUCUUUGGACCCAGAAUGUAAGAAGGAAAUGGCAAAGAUCUUUCUCCUGGAGCAAAUGUUCUCUAUACGCAAAGGUAUCAUACAGAAGAGAAAGUAGAAAAUAGUAGCUGCCAAAUGGAGAUACAGUCUAGUAAAAUAAAUGGACAGUUAGUUUGGUAAACAGCCUGGUACUAAACUGUGCUUCAGCCAUUGAUAACAGGUAGACCACAGAUAAGUACAGUCACACCAUACAUUUGGAAGCACCUGCAAUUGAUUUAUCAGAUGUUGUUAUCCAAGGCAAUGGAGAAUACCCAAGGCCACGGAAAAUGUUCUGCUGGAGAAACAUACUAAUUUGCUCCUCAGUACAGAUCCUGUAGACUGCUGAGAGGAUCUGCAUGGGCCAAACUUCAGGAUAACAAAGUACCAUUUUAUUGAAAUAUGCUGCCUCAGUACGCAGCAGUUGCAGCCAGUCUCAUGCCCUAUUGUAUUAGACAGCAUAAGGAAAUGUGAGUCCUGUGCUCCAAGUGACUCACAUUAUUAAGAAGUACUGCAUGCCAGGGUUAAGGAACUGGAGAGCAUACAUUUGCCACAAUGAAAUGCUUAGCAAGAUAAAUCAAAAAGCAGAUAAUUUAGGAAGGAAAAAUUAAGUGCAUGACUGCUUUUUCCCUCUUUAAAUUCUGGCUAUUAGCCCAGGCAUUAACCUAUCUAACCCACAAGUGAAUGAGUUGUUUAGGAAACACAGUGAUUCCAAGCCAAAAUCCGGGCAAAAUUUUUCUAUUUUCCCUGGAAGACAACAUGUGUUUAAGAUUGAUUUCUAGACCACUCAUCUGCUCUCUCAUACUCUCUUCUAAAAUUGUGGCACAGGAAUAACUGUGCCAAGGGAACCAGUAUUUGUGAGAAUGCUGGAGACUCAUACCUACUUCAGAUUAGCCAUGUUCUUUCCCUGUUCCACCGCUACCUACAUUUUCACUGAAUAAACUGCAAUAUCCCACUUUGCACUUUGCAAAGAUGCUUACAAAACCUUGAUUUAAUACUGUAUCUGAAGAAAACGACUGUCACAACUCAACCAAGAAGCUUAAUCCAUCUGACUAGUAAGUGCCAGUCAGUGCAUGCAUGGACAUAACAGAACUUGAGUACACAAGAAAUAAAAAUACAAGAAUAUGGGAAGAAGCUGCAGAUCCCAAUAGGCAUUAACACAAUUUGAAGUUUCAAUUCAUCCACUGCUCACUUGUUUUAUAAUCAUCUUCCUUGACUUACUUUCAGUCAGCUGUCACUGACAAAAGUAAUUCUCAUUAUCUCCAUAUUGCCUCAUCUCUGCUUCAGUCACUUUUUUCCAGUGUUAUCUUUGUGUACUGAAAUGUCACCUUUCUGAUUUUUAUUCAAACGUUCUGUAAAGUUGAGAACACCCCAAGAGUGCUAGUUUCUAUUAUAAGGUUGAUUCACAUCUCAGUGGUAUGAAAAUUCCUGGCUGUUUGCAAAAGAUGACACAUAUGUUGUCAUGGAUUAUAAUAGUGGAAAUAGUUCAUGCUGACUAAAUAAAUUAGUAGAAGCUGUUUGAGCCAUAUUAUGUUUUUUGUGUAUAGUGGAUACAACGCUGAAUGAACAAUGGAAUUAAAUGUGCAUUAGAAUGAAUAGGAAAACAUCAGAACUGUGUUGCAUCUCGCCCACCUGCACUGUUUUUUAUUCAGGUGAUGAGAUCUCUAUGUAUUUUGAACACUAGGACUGAUAUCAGCUGUGAGUUGAGGAUAGGUGAACACACAGCAAUGAAAAGAAUGAAGCUGAAAAUUAGGCCAGAAGAUUGAAUUCAGGAUGGAUUUAUAUCAUUUGUUACUAUUUUGUUCAUCAUGGUUGGCUGAUAAACUAUCAAGCAGGACGAAGUUCAGGAGGCUUGAUAUACUGUAUGUUAAGUCUUUGUUGUUACAAGGUGAACUCCCUAACUCCAGCUCACUCUCCUUCUCUCCCACACUUUUUUUAAUACAGAGGAAAGUUGAACUCCCCCUGCUUAGCUCCAGUACCUCUUAAUGAGGGAGCUGUAACACUAUGCAGUCGUCUCACCACACAGCAAUCAGAAUUUCAUUGCUUCACACAGCUUGACUUAUGUCAAAAAGGAUGGUUAAAAUUCACCCACAUCCUGGAACCCCCCUGUUGAGUUAAGCAGAUCACAACUUAACUACAGGAGGAAUUUUUGUUGGUUUCAAUUUUUAAAUGGUCAAAGGGCACAAAGUAUUAUUCCUGAAAGUUCCUUCACAGACACUGUUCUUAGGAUGCUGGCAUGAGCAAAAUGAUUUACAUAUAUAUUUACAGAGGCACAAGUAAGAGAACUACACGUGCUAAUAAAAAGAAACAUAAUUUACAAAAAUACAGUCUGAUCACACAAAAUGGAUUCUCUAGCCUAUUAUGGUUAAUCAAAUCUCCUGGACCAGCUUAAUAGAUUGUAUUUAAGAGUGCAGCCCUACGUUUACAAAAAUCAGAAGCAGAAGUUUCAACUGUAAAUCGGAAUCUCGGGAGGUAAUGUUAUUUAUGUGCACUUGAACCAGCAUUCCUGACACCUUCAAGAUGAGCAUCCUUGAAUGCAUACAUAUGCAUUGCAUGAUCACUGUGAUUCCUGCAAGAGGGAAAACACAAGCAAAUAUUAUAUAUUAUAUAUAUUAUAAAAAGACUUACUUAUGUCUGCUGUAGCUCAUCCUACCUUCCAAGAGUUUUCAGACAUGCUUUCAUUUUUAGUGUGUUUCUUCAACUGAACUUAAAACCAGGCACAAGAGAAUGCUCUAUUCAACUGUGAAAAUAUUGUAUUGCAUUACAGGAAGCUUCCAAGUUUAUAAAAAUAUGAAUGUCUUUGUAGUACAGAGGUAAAAGAUUCCUAUUACCCCAGUUACAAGAAAGUUCAAAGGAUGUCAUAAAUAAUUACCACUGAAAUGAUAAUGUUAUGGAUAUGUUUCUGCAUAUGUGGGGUCAACAGAAGGAAAUGGCUCUACAUCCGUGAAAAAUUAAUUAUCCACAGAAAACCUGGAUUGCCUAUAAACAAUAACCUCGAAACGAACAUGUUAAAUUAUAUUUUUAAAUGUCCA